AACGGUCUAUACCUGCGGUACCUGCGGAGGGAUCAUUAAAAAAGGGUCUUUUGACCCAUUUUUUAAAACUCACUACCAAUUCUAGCCCAACGGGUCAGAUGGAAGUGGGUUUUUUCAAACUCCAAAAAUUUUUAACUAUUCGUCUUUUUGACGAAACCAAAAAUUAAUAAAUAAAACUUUUAACAAUGGAUCUCU
rnacentral:misc_RNA from 1 species